rnacentral:rRNA from 1 species
AUGUGUAGAUAUGCUCUUUUAUUUGUGCGAAGUUGUUCAGACUUUUCUUUGAUUCAUUAUUUUAGCUGCAUACAAAAGGAGUAUGAGUACUGUUUGGUUCCAUGCAGGACCAACCAAGGAAGAGAAGCAAAUCACAACCCUUUAGUUCAUGGUCUAGGAGCAGGAAGAUACACAUCCAUCUUUGUGAUAUUCUGGGCUUCUCUACACUGGUACGGUCUCUCGCUGGUACAUGAUUUGAGGCAUAGGAGGGAGGGGCACGUUGCGAUGUCGUCUUUGGUCACGGCUAUAGCUUAUGAGAAGAAUGGGAUUUAUGCUUGGGAGACUGCCCGUGGUUAG